UGAGGAAUAUUGCGCAAUGGGCGAAAGCCUGACGCAGCAACGCCGCGUGGAUGAUGAAGUUCUUCGGAAUGCAAAAUCCUUUUGCAGGGGACGAAUAUGCUGGCUUGCCAGCACUGACGGUACCUUGCGAAUAAGCCACGGCUAACUCUGUGCCAGCAGCCGCGGUGAUACAGGGGUGGCAAGCGUUGUCCGGAUUUACGGGGGGUAAAGGGUGCGCAGGCGGACCGAUAAGUCGGGGGUUAAAUCCAUGUGCUUAACACAUGCACGGCUUCCGAUACGGUCGGUCUAGAGGCUCGAAGAGGAAUGUGGAAUUUCCGGUGUAACGGUGGAAUGUGUAGAUAUCGGAAAGAACACCAGUGGCGAAGGCAGCCUUCUGGUCGAGAAGUGGCGCUCAUGCACGAAAGCGUGGGGAGCAAACA
rnacentral:rRNA from 1 species